AGAGUUUGAUCCUGGCUCAGGAUGAACGCUAGCUACAGGCUUAACACAUGCAAGUCGAGGGGAAACGAUAGAGAAAGCUUGCUUUUUCUAGGCGUCGACCGGCGCACGGGUGAGUAACGCGUAUCCAACCUGCCCAUCACUUGGGGAUAACCUUGCGAAAGUAAGACUAAUACCCAAUGACGUCUCUAGAAGACAUCUGAAAGAGAUUAAAGAUUUAUCGGUGAUGGAUGGGGAUGCGUCUGAUUAGCUUGUUGGCGGGGUAACGGCCCACCAAGGCGACGAUCAGUAGGGGUUCUGAGAGGAAGGUCCCCCACAUUGGAACUGAGACACGGUCCAAACUCCUACGGGAGGCAGCAGUGAGGAAUAUUGGUCAAUGGGCGAGAGCCUGAACCAGCCAAGUAGCGUGCAGGAUGACGGCCCUAUGGGUUGUAAACUGCUUUUAUAAGGGAAUAAAGUGAGCCUCGUGAGGCUUUUUGCAUGUACCUUAUGAAUAAGGACCGGCUAAUUCCGUGCCAGCAGCCGCGGUAAUACGGAAGGUCCGGGCGUUAUCCGGAUUUAUUGGGUUUAAAGGGAGCGUAGGCCGGAGAUUAAGCGUGUUGUGAAAUGUAGACGCUCAACGUCUGCACUGCAGCGCGAACUGGUUUCCUUGAGUACGCACAAAGUGGGCGGAAUUCGUGGUGUAGCGGUGAAAUGCUUAGAUAUCACGAAGAACUCCGAUUGCGAAGGCAGCUCACUGGAGCGCAACUGACGCUGAAGCUCGAAAGUGCGGGUAUCGAACAGGAUUAGAUACCCUGGUAGUCCGCACGGUAAACGAUGGAUGCCCGCUGUUGGUCUGAAUAGGUCAGCGGCCAAGCGAAAGCAUUAAGCAUCCCACCUGGGGAGUACGCCGGCAAC
rnacentral:rRNA from 1 species